rnacentral:rRNA from 1 species
UGGGGAAUAUUGGACAAUGGGCGAAAGCCUGAUCCAGCCAUGCCGCGUGUGUGAAGAAGGUCUUCGGAUUGUAAAGCACUUUAAGUUGGGAGGAAGGGCAUUAACCUAAUACGUUAGUGUUUUGACGUUACCGACAGAAUAAGCACCGGCUAACUCUGUGCCAGCAGCCGCGGUAAUACAGAGGGUGCAAGCGUUAAUCGGAAUUACUGGGCGUAAAGCGCGCGUAGGUGGUUUGUUAAGUUGGAUGUGAAAACCCCGGGCUCAACCUGGGAACUGCAUUCAAAACUGACUGACUAGAGUAUGGUAGAGGGUGGUGGAAUUUCCUGUGUAGCGGUGAAAUGCGUAGAUAUAGGAAGGAACACCAGUGGCGAAGGCGACCACCUGGACUAAUACUGACACUGAGGUGCGAAAGCGUGGGGAGCAAACA